UUUGUUGUCAAGUCACGUGAUUUCCCAGAAAAGCCACACAAGCAUUUACCUGACGUGGCCACAAGGGGCGCUCUCUAGUGAGUCCAGUAGAAGACUUCUUGUCAGUUGACUGCUGCCACUUUUCUGUGCAGAAUAGCGUUUCGUUUUCUCUCCUCACUGUGACGUCACAGAAUGCUGACUCCUCAUUGGCUCAGGUGGAGUAUUAUAAAAAGAGCCUCGACAGUUCCUGGUUCAUUUUUCCUGUUUGCGAGUCAAGCGAGUGUUCGUCACUUUUGUCUUUCUCUGCGAGAUUAAAAGUGGCAAACAUCUUUUUGUUUCGCGCUGACAUCAUGAACUUGUUUUUAUUCUUUCUUCUGGUCGUGCAAAUGCACAGCGUGACGCCUGUGAUUCACACGCUGCAGUAUUUCCUCACUGCGUCCUCUCAAGUUCCAAACUUCCCAGAGUAUGUGGAGGUUGGUUAUGUUGAUGGAGUUCAGAUUUCUCACUAUGACAGCAACAGCAGGAAAGCAGAAGCCAAACAGGACUGGAUGAACAAAAUCACAGCAGAGGAUCCAAAAUACUGGCAGAGACACACAGAGAUCAAUGUUGGUAAUGAGUUGAUUCUCAAACACAGCCUUGAAGUUCUUAAGAAGCGUUUCAACCAAACUGGAGGUGUUCACAUUCUCCAGAUGAUGACUGGAUGUGAAUGGAAUGAUGAGACUGAUGAAGUUAAAGGUUGGCAACAGCAAGGUUAUGAUGGAGAAGAUUUCAUAUCGUUGGACAUGAAGACAUGGACAUUUACUGCAGCAAAACAACAAGCUUUCCCCACCAAACUCAAUUGGGACCAGGACAAACAUCUACUAGAAUACAAUAAGUUUUACUACACUGAGGAUUGUCCUUCUUACUUGAAAAAGCAUGUGAACAAUGGGAAGGAGGUCCUAAUGAGAACAGAGCUUCCAGAGGUGUUCCUGCUCCAGAAGACGCCGUCCUCUCCGGUCAGCUGCAUGGCGACAGGUUUUUACCCCGACGGUGCCGACCUGUUUUGGAGGAAAGACGGCGAGCAGAUCUUCGAGGACGUGGAGCACGGAGAGAUACUCCCCAACCACGACGGAACCUUCCAGAUGUCGGUGGCGCUGAAAGUGGAGGUGACGGCCGACGUGGAGGGCAAGUACGAAUGUGUGUUUCAGCUGUCAGGCGUCAAGGAGGACUUGGUCACCAAGCUGGAGAGAAGAAGCAUCCUGAGCAACGCAAGCCAUGAAGACAACUUGAGCGUCGCCCUCGCUGCCACGGCGGCGGUCCUCGCUGUGGCGGCCAUCAUCAUCAUCAUGGUCAUGGUCAGGCGUCACAGAAACAGACAAGCCCAGUACGAUCCAGCUGGUAAGUAAAACAUCUUUUCUUUGAGCCGCAAGAAACAAAGCCGUGGUGAAGCGUCACUCACAUGGAGGUCUGAUGUGGACCUUUGUUACAAGUUUAGCCGGAAAAGCCCAACUGGAGCUGACUCCUUCACAAUAAAAGUCCCUCCUGUGAGCACACGCAAUACAAAGUCUGGCAUAUCUCACUUUUGACAGGAGUCCUCAUGAUGAGGAUCAGCCAAAUGAGACAUCAAGUGUGCUGACUCGUCAUGUUUCCAAGUCACACCUCAAAGAUCUGAUCUCGCCACGGCGGCGUGGAGCUCGACGAGAACGUGCAGGCGGCUGAAGGCUGAGUAAGCUCACAUGGACUGUCUGCACCUCCAAAUGUUCUUGUGUGAAGAUGAUGUUCAACUUGGAUUCACCUGCUUCUGUCGGGAAUGUGCUGAGUGGUCUUCUUCCUCCAGGAUGCUUUGUGCACUGGAACACAGGGAGAUGUCUCCAUCGCUGAGGGACGUCAUCACACUCGGAGAUGAGAUGGAGAUGUGCUUUGUUCUUCGUCCGACUGCUCCUCACGCUAUUCCAUGUAUUCUUCUUUGGCCGUUAAAAGACUUUCAAGAUCAAACGUUGGUGGCUGUAAAAUCGCACGUUUCAUGGCCUUGACGUCAUGACGAGGAUUUCUUCUUUUCUUUCAACGGCCGCUGCUUAUGAUCAAUAUCACAUUGUGUCACAUCUCUGUCAAUAAAUCCGUUUUUUCUCCA